rnacentral:rRNA from 1 species
GUUAGCAGCGAUAACACGUUGAAUUCACCUGUUCUUAAUGGAUCACUGAAGUUCAACAACGUUGCGUGUGGUUGCUAUCUGGAUGGGUGACCAUCUGUUGCAUGCUGCUGGCU